CACUGGUGCAGCACAAAACCCGGCCGAUGCCCCCAGCAGCUCAACCCCGGGCUCUCCAGCUCUCAGUUACCGCACACGGCCAGCUGACGUCACAGUGGCUGUGGGGGAACCUGCAGUGUUUCGCUGUGGAGUCCCUGAAGCCUCUCCGAACCUCACAUUUAUCUUCUAUCAGCAUCAAAAGAACUACAGUCUCACCUGUCCUAAAGGCCACGUGGAAGAUAUUCCUCAGGCUCUGGAGGGGAGCUGUGACCUGAAGAACGGCGAGUCUUUGGCCGUGUGGACCCUCAAGGGAACCUCCUACUCUGACAACGGCACAAGAGUCGUAUGUCAACAGUCCCAGAAUCCCGAUGCGCCUGCUGCCGUCCUGCAUGUUUAUGAUGAUGGCACCAGCUACGCCACUCUCGUUGGGUGUCUCAUCGGAGGUUUCUUUGGAAUCCUGUUGGUCUUUGGUCUAUUCUUCCUGCUGCUGCAAAGAUCCACCAGGUUUCAGAACUGCUUUGGU